CCUUGCCUGGAAAACAGUGGGAUUUGACUGAAAAGUAAACGCAGCCUGAGGCUACAUUAAAGGGACACUAUCAGCCUGAGAGCCACCCUCCUCUGUGAAAAUGCUGUGCUGAUCAUUGCUGCGAAUGAUACUGAAACUGGAGGAUGUUUAGGUUGAAGAAGGUGUUUCUCCCUGCGUGCUGCGUUUUGUGUGUUUUGUUGCACAUCACUUCCCAGCUUGGACUUUGGAGCUUGCCUGCGUGGGAGGAAAUCCCAUGUUGCUCUGCUGAGACCGGCGCAGGUUCAAAACGUGAAGGAUUUUUCGGAGCGUUCAGUGCAUGAGCCGGUGCUGACUGGCUUUCGUGGCCUCUGGACCCAGCUGGCUGGUGCUGCAGCAGCCUGGGGAGGUGCAGCCCGGCUGCUAGAGGAGCUUCUCAGCUCGGCACCCCUCUUCCAGCAGACCUUCAUUAAAAAGGGCUAUGAAUUUUCCACCCAAUUGUAUCUACGCCGUUCAGCAGCCUCCACUGAGGUGCAGCCCGGCGCGUGGAGAGGUUCGGUUUGCAUUCGCUAGAUGUCACUCUGUACAAAGACUAUCAGAAGCUGCUGGAACGGAUGAUUAAAUGAGGAAAAAAAAAAGCUAUUUGGAGAGGGUGGGUAAGUGACUGAAAAACAUAUUUUCAAUUACUUCCGAAUAAGAAGGUUUACCCCAUCCCUAUCUCCCUACAGUUUGCAAGAGACACUCAGUGCUGCUUGGUAAAAUGAAACCCCUCAGAGCCUUUGGAGAGA
rnacentral:lncRNA from 1 species